rfam:Canis lupus familiaris chromosome X, whole genome shotgun sequence.
AGGAGGAACAACCGCAGUGGCUGGGCAGCUCUGGAAACCUGGAUUAAGCCCCCACAGUAACUCCGGAGCUCUCCGUCUGCAGGGCCUGGAUGCUCGGGGCGGG